AAUUUCCCAAGUACCUGUGAUUACAGGCAUGUACCACCAUGCUUGUCUAAUUAAAAAAAAAUUUUUUUGUAAACACGGAGUCUCUUUAUGUUCCCCAAUCUGGUCUGGAACUUUUGGGAUUAGUGAUCCUCCUGCCACAGCCACAGCCUCCCAAAGUGCUAGGAUUAUAGGCAUGAGCCACCAUGCCUGACCAUUGGUCUAAAUUUUUAUUCCAGCUUCUAUGGUCUCAUGGUUACCUUCCUCAAGUGGACCCUCCUAACUGCCACCCACCUACUACCAUUGUGUCCUCAUGUCCGGUUGGAGCUAGGUGGAGAGGCAGUUUCCCAUUCUCUUUGUUCUGCUAUCCCUGUUCCUCACAUGAAACAAAGUCUCCACCCUAGCUCUAGCCUUGCUUCUUUUCCACCUGCAAGAGUACACACUCUUAGGUUCUGGUUGGGUUUUAAUUUCACACCAGAUCAUCUAAACACAUAUAUCUAUGCAUCAGCUGCAAACUGAAGAUCCUAAAAUGUCAAAAAGGAGAAGCAUAGAUCUGUGGAGACGUUGGCCAAAGGGAGGAGCUGGGGACAGGGGCUUUGUAGCAGAGGCUAGUUGUUUUAAUUUUUGUCUGCUGCCUUUGACACCAGGUGAGGGGGUCAGAAUGCCUUGUCACCUCCUCAGGAGAAACACCCAGGCCUGCAGAUGGCCAGUGAACUGGCUCGGCACAGCUCCGUCCCUCAUGAUUUCCUGCCAAGUCCUCCUGUUUCUUCACUCUUGGUAGUUCUCCCACACAGCCCAUCCUUUCCAUCUUGUUUGAGCCUGCUGUCCUCUCAGCUCACCCCUGGGCUCAUUUCACAGUCUUCUGGACUGUACUCUCUCUUUCCCUGCUGCAUUCUGCUGCCAGAUCUACCUGAAAUGCCACUUUUGCAUGAAAAUAUCAGCCUGGCAAGAUGAUCUGAUGGUGAAGAAAAAAAAUUAUUGGUGGCAAGCACACAAUCCAUGCCAAAUGGAGCCGUGGAACGGCUUUGUUGCCGCUUCCCGGAGGCUGAACUCCGCUGCCGGUGCCAGCAUCUCUAGUUACUCGCUUCUCUUCUUGCUCACUGGUCUUUGUAUGCACUCAGACUAACCUGUGAAUUGGCACCUCGUGUCUGCAUCUCACUGACUUUGGCAGCUUGGAUGCCGUCUUCACCUGUAAAUGCCCUUUCCUCCAAAAAGCAGGUCUGCUGCCCGUUCACUCUCUCUCUCUCGCUGUAUCAGAGUCUAGAACCUGCAGGUUUUCUGAAAGAGCAUUGUGUUGCUUUUUAUCCAAAGCAGCAUGCAUUUCCAUCAGCUUUCCAACAGAAAAUCAGGCGAGAGCUUAUUCAACAUUCACUUAUUCACUGAAUAUUCAUUAAUUUUCCAGACAUUCUUCUAGGUACCAGGGAUACCAGUAAAAAAUAUUUACCCUCAUGGAGCCUGGCUUCUAGGGGAUGAAAACAGACAGUAAACAAAUAAAUGAAUAAAUAAAUAUUCAGUGAAUGAGUGAAUGAUGAAGAA